UGGAUGUCGGCGGUUUUAAGGCGUAAAACAUGAAGCAUGAAGAAAGCUCCUGUCAUGAGCGGGAGAGUGAAGUUAACACGAACUUCAGCAUCAAUCACACAGAAAUCUCCACUCAGUCAUUUAACAGUUCAGCUCAUCCACAGCAGUGUCUGCGGCUCAGCGACACCUGCUGGAGCGGAGGAGCACAGCGACCAGCAGGCAGAUAAUUCAUUCCACUUUCACAUGUCAGACUAAACAAAGGCUUCCCUGCUCACUCAGGCUCUUUCAUAGUGUCUGUCAAACCGCGACAGUGAAUAAUCCGUAAAACCAACAACUGAGGCUGUUUCUCACAGAGUUAAAUCCCAUCCUGUUGCUGCUGUCUGGUCCAAAGAGACUGAA